UACGUAGGGGGCAAGCGUUGUCCGGAAUCAUUGGGCGUAAAGCGCGUGUAGGCGGCUCGGUAAGUCCGCUCUGAAAGUCCGGGGCUCAACCCCGGGAGGCGGGUGGAUACUGUCGAGCUCGAGUCCGGAAGAGGCGAGUGGAAUUCCUGGUGUAGCGGUGAAAUGCGCAGAUAUCAGGAGGAACACCGAUGGCGAAGGCAGCUCGCUGGGACGUGACCGACGCUGAGACGCGAAAGCGUGGGGAGCAAACAGG
rnacentral:rRNA from 1 species